GACGAACGCUGGCGGCGUGCUUAACACAUGCAAGUCGAACGGAAAGGCCCUGCUUUUGUGGGGUGCUCGAGGGGCGAACGGGUGAGUAACACGUGAGUAACCUGCCCUUGACUUUGGGAUAACUUCAGGAAACUGGGGCUAAUACCGGAUAGGAGCCCCUGCUGCAUGGUGGGGGUUGGAAAGUUUCGGCGGGUGGGGAUGGACUCGCGGCUUAUCAGCUUGUUGGUGGGGGAGUGGCUUACCAAGGCUUUGACGGGUAGCCCGCCUGAGAGGGUGACCGGCCACAUUGGGCCUGAGGUACGGCCCAGACUCCUACGGGAGGCAGCAGUGGGGAAUAUUGCACAAUGGGCGGAAGCCUGAUGCAGCAACGCCGCGUGCGGGAUGACGGCCUUCGGGUUGUAAACCGCUUUCGCCUGUGACGAAGCGUGAGUGACGGUAAUGGGUAAAGAAGCACCGGCUAACUACGUG
rnacentral:rRNA from 1 species